rnacentral:rRNA from 1 species
GAUGAACGCUGGCGGCGUGCCUAACACAUGCAAGUCGAGCGGUAGCACAAGGGAGCUUGCUCCCUGGGUGACGAGCGGCGGACGGGUGAGUAAGGUCUGGGAAACUGCCUGAGGGAGGGGGAUAACUACUGGAAACGGAAGCUAAUACCGCAUAACGUCUUCGGACCAACGUGGGGGCUCUCCGGACCUCACGCCAGCGGAUGUGCCCGGAUGGGAUUAGCUAGGAGGUGGGGUAAAGGCUCACCUAGGGGACGAUCCCUAGCUGGUCUGAGAGGAUGACCAGCCACACUGGAACUGAGACACGGUCCAGACUCCUACGGGAGGCAGCAGUGGGGAAUAUUGCACAAUGGGCGCAAGCCUGAUGCAGCCAUGCCGCGUGUGUGAAGAAGGCCUUCGGGUUGUAAAGCACUUUCAGCGGGGAGGAAGGGGAUAGAGUUAAUACCUUUAUCCAUUGACGUUACCCGCAGAAGAAGCACCGGCUAACUCCGUGCCAGCCGCCGCCGUAA